UCAUUGGGAUGAGAAUGUGUGUAUGACUGGAAAUGAAGGGUUCUCUAUAUAUUGUAGUCAAGUGUCCAUAUUGAAACAUCCAUUCAUCAUUAGCAAUUGCUCUAUCAAUCCUGAUACAAUCUCUAUCAGUUUCUCUCUGUUUGUCUGUCCAAGUGUAAUAUUUCCCCUUCUAAGGAAUCUCAUUUAACAGUAGAGUGUUGCAGUAGUCAGAG
rnacentral:lncRNA from 1 species